AGACAAUCGACAGGUUCAUUAAAAAGGGACACUGGAUGAGUUAUUACCUGUCUCUUGUAGCCUUCUGGAAGCCGGAAGUGGACACAGAGACAGACCGACACAAAACAGGAGAAUAACACAGACAACGGCUGUAUUAUGGAGGUGAUCAGGCUCCGGUUGUCCCACUUUCCAGAGGUCCGCUCCGGUCCGUUGGUUUCUGGCCCUCCGAACCGGCAAAUCCGGUGGCCCCACGUUGGG